rnacentral:rRNA from 1 species
GUAAAGCGCACGCAGGCGGUCUGUCAAGUCGGAUGUGAAAUCCCCGGGCUCAACCUGGGAACUGCAUCCGAAACUGGCAGGCUAGAGUCUUGUAGAGGGGGGUAGAAUUCCAGGUGUAGCGGUGAAAUGCGUAGAGAUCUGGAGGAAUACCGGUGGCGAAGGCGGCCCCCUGGACAAAGACUGACGCUCAGGUGCGAAAGCGUGGGGAGCAAACAGGAUUAGAUACCCUGGUAGUCCACGCCGUAAACGAUGUCGACUUGGAGGUUGUGCCCUUGAGGCGUGGCUUCCGGAGCUAACGCGUUAAGUCGACCGCCUGGGGAGUACGGCCGCAAGGUUAAAACUCAAAUGAAUUGACGGGGGCCCGCACAAGCGGUGGAGCAUGUGGUUUAAUUCGAUGCAACGCGAAGAACCUUACCUA